AACCUUAUGGACCUGCGGGCGUAUACCUGCGGAGGGAUCAUUACCGAGUUUACAACUCCCAAACCCCUGUGAACAUACCAAUUGUUGCCUCGGCGGAUCAGCCCGCUCCCGGUAAAACGGGACGGCCCGCCAGAGGACCCCUAAACUCUGUUUCUAUAUGUAACUUCUGAGUAAAACCAUAAAUAAAUCAAAACUUUCAACAAUGGAUCU
rnacentral:misc_RNA from 1 species